UUUAUUUCUUCUUUGAUCCAAAGGUUAUUUAUUACUGUUUUUCUGAAUUUCUCAGUAGUCGGGCUUCUUAUGUAAGAGACAUAUAUAGGCUAUUCACAUUGCUUAUAAUAAUUGAUAUAUUUUAUUCCUUCUGUUUUACGUUGUGCAUUAUCUUUGGCUUUCCCCUACUUUCCUUACCUUUUAAUGAUUUGAGCAACUCACUCACUCCUCCCCCACCCACCCCCUCUGAUUUGGAAACUACUACAUUUCCCACCCCCCACAGUUACCUUCCUUCUCUGCCACUUUCUCUACUGUUAAAAGAGAACAAGUUUUUCAGAUAUUUUCCCUCACUAGACGUCUGUUUGCGCAUUAUUUUCCCCUCCAUCCCAUUCAGGCAAAUAAAAUGUCAUCGUACUGGGUGAGGUAUCUAAUGCAUUGUUUGGGGUCUAAGAUAAGUUUUAAAAUACACCAAAUUCUUUUGGUAUUUGGAGACAUAUUAACAUUUAUCCUCUAAGCUAAUUGUAUAUAGUGAUAUUUCAGGAGUGACAUGAUUUGACCUGUACUGUCUUCAAAUCUUUGAGACAGUAAAUUUAUAUGGACAAUUUUCUCUAAGAUAUGAUAUAUAAUUAAAUCACUAAAAUAGAAUCAGUAGACAUAAUCGAACACUAAUAUAUGAGACGGUUCACUUUGUGAAUAUUCCCUUUUCCCCUACCCCGCGUUUCCCUGCGCGUCCUGCGUACCGCGGCGACACCAUGUUGGGAAUGAUCAAGAACCCGCUGUUCGGGAGCGUGGAGACUAGGCCUUGGCAGGUCCUGAGCAAAGGGGGCAAGGGAGAUGUAUUCUACGAGGAGAGGGCCUGUGAAGGCGGGAAGUUUGCCACAGAGGAAGUGACAGAUAAGCCUGUGGAUGAGGCUCUGAGGGAGGCAAUGCCGAAAGUCAUGAAGUAUGUGGGAGGCUCCAAUGAUAAGGGACUCGGAAUGGGGAUGACAGUUCCUAUUUCCUUUGCUGUGUUCCCCAGUGACGAUGGGAACCUACAAAAUAAAUUAAAAGUCUGGUUCCGGAUUCCAAACAAGUUUCAAAGCGACCCACCGGCUCCCAGCGAUGACAGCAUUAAGAUCGAAGACAGGGAAGGCAUCACUGUCUAUUCCACGCAGUUUGGUGGUUAUGCUAAGGCAGCUGAUUACGCUGCCCAAGCCGCCCAGCUGCGGUCCGCCCUGGAGAGCACAGCCACGUACCAGACGGACUUCUACUUCUGCGCUGGGUAUGACCCUCCCAUGAAGCCCUACGGACGUCGCAACGAGGUCUGGCUGGUGAAGAGCAGUGAAUGAGUCAUUGGCUGAACCCCGAGCUCCUGAGCUCCGAGGGUGUCUGCAUCUGUGCCUACUUCCCCUGGGAGGAAGCAGCGCCCCCGUGCCGCUCCAGCAGAACCAACUUCCCUUCAGAGCCAGUCACUGCCAAUUUCCUGAGAUAAGCACGGUCCAGAUUCUGAGGCUCUGUUUCUCUUGGUGGGAAAUAAUGUACCCACGAUACACGUGCAUUCUUCUAACGCAUGUGUCUAUAAUUGACUUAUAGACAAUUCAGUGGUAGGCCAGAAAAACCCAGCAGCAUUUUUCCAGCUCUCUGGAUCCCCUAAAAACAGAUUUUUAAAAAUCAUGAAAACUGUAUUUUUGUCAAUCCACAAAGAAGUGUGAUUUAUGCAUGAUCUUUCCUAUGUAAUUCUUAGAAGAGCUUUCUUUAAAAAGAAACCAAAAAUAAAGAUCUUUGCCUUGAAACAGCUAAAAAA